rnacentral:tRNA from 4 species
GCCCAGAUGGUGAAACUGGCAACCACGUACGCUUCAGGUGCGUAUGCCGAAAGGCUUGGGGGUUCGACUCCCCCUCUGGGCA